UAAAAGAAGAUUUCUUCGGAUUGACUCUUUUAUUAUCUUAGCGGCGGACGGGUGAGUAACGCGUGAGAAACCUGCCUUUCACAAAGGGAUAGCCUCGGGAAACUGGGAUUAAUACCUUAUGAUACUUUUAGAUAGCAUUAUUUAAAAGUCAAAGCGUAAAGCGGUGAAAGAUGGUCUCGCGUCCCAUUAGCUAGUUGGUGAGAUAAAAGCUCACCAAGGCAACGAUGGGUAACCGGCCUGAGAGGGUGAACGGUCACACUGGAACUGAGACACGGUCCAGACUCCUACGGGAGGCAGCAGUGGGGAAUAUUGCACAAUGGAGGAAACUCUGAUGCAGCGACGCCGCGUGAACGAUGAAGGCUUUCGAGUCGUAAAGUUCUGUCCUAGGGGACGAUAAUGACGGUACCCUAGGAGGAAGCCCCGGCUAAUUACGUGCCAGCAGCCGCGGUAAUACGUAAGGGGCGAGCGUUGUCCGGAAUUAUUGGGCGUAAAGGGUUCGCAGGCGGCCUUUUAAGUCAGAUGUGAAAUCUCACGGCUUAACCGUGGUAAGCAUUUGAAACUGGAAGGCUUGAGUUAAGGAGAGGAAAGUGGAAUUCCUAGUGUAGCGGUGAAAUGCGUAGAUAUUAGGAAGAAUACCAGUGGCGAAGGCGACUUUCUGGACUUAUACUGACGCUGAGGAACGAAAGCAUGGGGAGCAAACAGGAUUAGAUACCCUGGUAGUCCAUGCCGUAAACGAUGAGUGCUAGGUGUUGGGGGUCAAACCUCGGUGCCGCAGCUAACGCAUUAAGCACUCCGCCUGGGGAGUACGUACGCAAGUAUGAAACUCAAAGGAAUUGACGGGGACCCGCACAAGCAGCGGAGCAUGUGGUUUAAUUCGAAGCAACGCGAAGAACCUUACCA
rnacentral:rRNA from 1 species